rnacentral:rRNA from 1 species
CUACGGGGGGCUGCAGUAAGGAAUAUUGGACAAUGGGCGAAAGCCUGAUCCAGCCAUGCCGCGUGAAUGAUGAAGGCCUUAGGGUUGUAAAGUUCUUUCGCCGGUGAAGAUAAUGACGGUAACCGGAUAAGAAGCCCCGGCUAACUUCGUGCCAGCAGCCGCGGUAAUACGAAGGGGGCUAGCGUUGUUCGGAAUUACUGGGCGUAAAGCGCGCGCAGGCGGGCUGUCAAGCCAGAGGUGAAAUCCCCAAGCUUAACUUGGGAACUGCCUUUGGAACUGUCAGUCUGGAGUCCUGGAGGGGGUGGUGGAAUUCCUAGUGUAGAGGUGACAUUCGUAGAUAUUAGGAGGAACACCGGUGGCGAAAGCGACCACCUGGACAGGUACUGACGCUGAGGCGCGAAAGCGUGGGGAGCAAACAGGAUUAGAUACCCGCGUAGUC